rnacentral:rRNA from 1 species
CACGGUAACGCGGGGCAACCUGGCGACGAGUGGCGAACGGGUGAGUAAUAUAUCGGAACGUGCCCAGUAGUGGGGGAUAGCCCGGCGAAAGCCGGAUUAAUACCGCAUACGACCUAAGGGUGAAAGGGGGGGAUCGCAAGACCUCUCGCUAUUGGAGCGGCCGAUAUCAGAUUAGGUAGUUGGUGGGGUAAAAGCCCACCAAGCCGACGAUCUGUAGCUGGUCUGAUAAGACGACCAGCCGCACUGGGACUGAGACACGGCCCACACUCCUACGGGAGGCAGCAGUGGGGAAUUUUGGACAAUGGGCGCAAGCCUGAUCCAGCCAUGCCGCGUGCGGGAAGAAUGCCUUCGGGUUGUAAACCGCUUUUGUCAGGGAAGAAAUCCCUUGGGAUAAUACCUCGGGGGGAUGACGGUACCUGAAGAAUAAGCACCGGCUAACUACGUGCCAGCAGCCGCGGUAAUACGUAGGGUGCAAGCGUUAAUCGGAAUUACUGGGCGUAAAGCGUGCGCAGGCGGUUGUGCAAGACAGAUGUGAAAUCCCCGGGCUCAACCUGUGAACUGCAUUUGUGACUGCACAGCUAGAGUACAGUAGAGGGGGAUGGAAUUCCGCGUGUAGCAGUGAAAUGCGUAGAUAUGCGGAGGAACACCGAUGG